ACUCAAAUGAAUUGACGGGGACCCGCACAAGCGGUGGAGCAUGUGGUUUAAUUCGACGAUACACGAAGAACCUUACCUGGACUUGACAUAGUAAGAACUUUCUAGAGAUAGAUUGGUGUCUGCUUGCAGAAACUUAUAUACAGGUGCUGCACGGCUGUCGUCAGCUCGUGUCGUGAGAUGUUGGGUUAAGUCCCGCAACGAGCGCAACCCUCGUGUUUAGUUGCUAACAGUUCGGCUGAGAACUCUAAACAGACUGCCUACGCAAGUAGGAGGAAGGUGAGGACGACGUCAAGUCAUCAUGGCCCUUACGUCCAGGGCUACACACGUGCUACAAUGGGAUAUACAAAGAGCGGCAAUACGGUGACGUGGAGCAAAUCUUAUAAAAUAUCUCCCAGUUCGGAUUGUAGUCUGCAACUCGACUACAUGAAGUUGGAAUCGCUAGUAAUCGUAGAUCAGCUAUGCUACGGUGAAUACGUUCCCGGGUCUUGUACACACCGCCCGU
rnacentral:rRNA from 1 species